rnacentral:rRNA from 1 species
UACGUAGGGUGCAAGCGUUGUCCGGAAUUAUUGGGCGUAAAGGGCUCGUAGGCGGUCCAUCGCGUCGGGAGUGAAAAGCUGGGGCUUAACCCCAGUCCUGCUUCCGAUACGGGUGGACUAGAGGUAGGUAGGGGAGAACGGAAUUCCUGGUGUAGCGGUGGAAUGCGCAGAUAUCAGGAGGAACACCAAUAGCGAAGGCAGCUCGCUGGGACGGUACUGACGCUGAGGCGCGAAAGCGUGGGGAGCGAACAGG